rnacentral:rRNA from 1 species
GGUAUGGCUGUUCGCCAUUUAAAGUGGUACGCGAGCUGGGUUUAGAACGUCGUGAGACAGUUCGGUCCCUAUCUGCCGUGGGCGCUGGAGAAUUGAGGGGGGCUGCUCCUAGUACGAGAGGACCGGAGUGGACGCAUCACUGGUGUUCGGGUUGUCAUGCCAAUGGCACUGCCCGGUAGCUAAAUGCGGAAGAGAUAAGUGCUGAAAGCAUCUAAGCACGAAACUUGCCCCGAGAUGAGUUCUCCCUGAGACUAUAAGUCUCCUGAAGGAACGUUAAAGACGAUGACGUUGAUAGGCCGGGUGUGUAAGCGCAGCGAUGCGUUGAGCUAACCGGUACUAAUGAACCGUGAGGCUUAACCUUACAACGCCGAAG